rnacentral:lncRNA from 1 species
AUAGUAAAAGACACAUUGUUAUUAACCCCUCUCAGUAUAUUCCUCUUCACUUUAAACUCACUUAUCCCAUUUUUCUCGCUGCUUUUUGGAGCAGUACCGAAGUCUUUUGCGAAUGUCUUUACAAGUGUGAUGAAAAUACCGUAAACGCUGUGCAGAGGGAAGGCAGGCGUGGAAAAGCUCUGUGAUGAGUCCUCACCCCCCACAUUCAUCAGAGUUGGCACUGUGCAACUUCUGGCUCCUCCUCAAAGUCCAAGUGACCAUGGAAGACACUGAAGCAGCGAUGAUAGCACAUCUAAAGACACUGAUGAAAGAAGACAUACAGAACUGCUUCAAGAAGUGGCAAGAAUGAUGGGUUGUGUGUUCAAAGUGUGUGUGUAGGGGGCUUUGAGGUGGUCUAAUAGCAAGG